rnacentral:rRNA from 1 species
GACGAACGCUGGCGGCGUGCCUAAUACAUGCAAGUCGAACGCUUUCUUUUUCCACCGGAGCUUGCUCCAUACGGAAAAAGAGGAGUGGCGAACGGGUGAGUAACACGUGGGUAACCUGCCCAUCAGGAAGGGGAUAACACUUAGGAAACAGGUGACUAAUACCGUAAUAACAAUACGAAACCGCAUUGGUUUUGAUUUAGGAAAGGCGUCGUUUCGGGUGUCGCUGAUGGAUCGGACCCGCGGUGCAUUAGCUAGUUGGUGAGGUAACGGCUCACCAAGGCGACGAUGCAU